rnacentral:rRNA from 1 species
AAACAUUUCUGAGGGGAAAAUGUUUUUGGUAUAACCUGCUCAAUGCUUUUUGUAAAUAGCUGCAGUAUUUUGACUGUACAAAGGUAGCAUAAUCAUUAGUCUUUUGAUUGGAGGCUUGUAUGAAUGGUUGAACAGAAAAUUAACUUUUUUAGUUGCACGAAGUUUUAAUUUGUAGUUUAUGUAAAAAUGCAUAAUUAUUUAAAAGGGACGAUAAGACCCUAUAGAAUUUAAAAAUAAUUUUGAAGAUAAAUUUUUUUGUUGGGGUGACAAUAAAUAAACUUUUAUAAUAUUUUCAUUGAUGAGUGGUUUAAUGAUCCUGUAUUUUAGAUAAAAAGAUAAAAUUACCUUAGGGAUAACAGCAUAAUUUUUUUUAAAAGAUCUUAUUAGUAAAAAAGAUUAUGACCUCGAUGUUGAAUUAAAAUAAGAUUUUGGUGUAGAAGCUAAAUUCUUUAGUCUGUUCGACUUUAUAUUUUACAUGAUCUGAUGUCAGACCGGGACAUCCCGAUGGUGCAGCCGCUAUUAAAGGUUCGUUUGUUCAACGAUUAAAGUCCUACGUGAUCUG